rnacentral:misc_RNA from 1 species
UUGAAAUCCUUAGGAUGUUGCUGGCCUUUCGGGGCAUGUGCACUCCGCCUUUUCAAUUCACCUGUGAACUCAUUGUAGGCCGGACUCUUUGUAGUCUGUGUCUAUGUUUUUAUACACCCUAUUAAAAAGUUUAACAGAAUGUCAUAUCAGACCUUUACCGGUCGAAAUAAAUUAAUA